rnacentral:rRNA from 1 species
GACGAACGCUGGCGGCGUGCUUAACACAUGCAAGUCGAACGGAAAGGCCCUGCUUUUGUGGGGUGCUCGAGUGGCGAACGGGUGAGUAACACGUGAGUAACCUGCCCUUGACUUUGGGAUAACUUCAGGAAACUGGGGCUAAUACCGGAUAGGAGCUCCUGCUGCAUGGUGGGGGUUGGAAAGUUUCGGCGGUUGGGGAUGGACUCGCGGCUUAUCAGCUUGUUGGUGGGGUAGUGGCUUACUAAGGCUUUGACGGGUAGCCGGCCUGAGAGGGUGACCGGCCACAUUGGGACUGAGAUACGGCCCAGACUCCUACGGGAGGCAGCAGUGGGGAAUAUUGCACAAUGGGCGGAAGCCUGAUGCAGCAACGCCGCGUGCGAGAUGACGGCCUUCGGGUUGUAAACCGCUUUCGCCUGUGACGAAGCGUGAGUGACGGUAAUGGGUAAAGAAGCACCGGCUAACUACGUG